rnacentral:rRNA from 1 species
AACGAACGCUGGCGGCAUGCCUAACACAUGCAAGUCGAACGAGACCUUCGGGUCUAGUGGCGCACGGGUGCGUAACGCGUGGGAACCUGCCCUUAGGUUCGGAAUAACUCCCCGAAAGGGGUGCUAAUACCGGAUAAUGUCUUCGGACCAAAGAUUUAUCGCCUUUGGAUGGGCCCGCGUUGGAUUAGCUAGUUGGUAGGGUAAAAGCCUACCAAGGCGACGAUCCAUAGCUGGUCUGAGAGGAUGAUCAGCCACACUGGGACUGAGACACGGCCCAGACUCCUACGGGAGGCAGCAGUGGGGAAUAUUGGACCAUGGGCGAAAGCCUGAUCCAGCAAUGCCGGGUGAGUGAUGAAGGCCUUAGGGUUGUAAAGCUCUUUUACCCGGGAUGAUAAUGACAGUACCGGGAGAAUAAGCUCCGGCUAACUCCGUG